UCUUGGAACCAUGGAUCUACGAUU
rnacentral:piRNA from 1 species